rnacentral:rRNA from 1 species
UAGGGAAUCUUCCGCAAUGGACGCAAGUCUGACGGAGCAACGCCGCGUGAGUGAAGAAGGAUUUCGGUUCGUAAAACUCUGUUGUUAGAGAAGAACAGCGCAUAGAGUAACUGUUAUGCGUGUGACGGUAUCUAACCAGAAAGCCACGGCUAACUACGUGCCAGCAGCCGCGGUAAUACGUAGGUGGCAAGCGUUGUCCGGAUUUAUUGGGCGUAAAGCGAGCGCAGGCGGUCAAUUAAGUCUGAUGUGAAAGCCCCCGGCUCAACCGGGGAGGGUCAUUGGAAACUGGUUGACUUGAGUGCAGAAGAGGAGAGUGGAAUUCCAUGUGUAGCGGUGAAAUGCGUAGAUAUAUGGAGGAGCAGCAGUGGCGAAGGCGACUCUCUGGUCUGUAACUGACGCUGAGGCUCGAAAGCGUGGGUAGCAAACAGG